GAGAAUAUAAUUUUAUCUAUUUCCGGUUAAGUCAUGUGGUUAUUCAUAAUUUAUCAGCAAACCGGAUACAAAACUAAGCGAUUACAAAUUAUUAUGCUAAUUUUGACAUAAACCCCUAAGUAUGUUGUAGUAAAUGCAUUCUUGAACUCUGAUUCCUUCUUAUCAGCAACUUUGAUCACUUCCUCUGAAACUUGGUGCUCGUUAACCUCUUCGGCUCUCCCUGAGCGAGACGGCUCCGUCAUUUCCUUCGUCCCCACUUUGGUACGGCCAGAAUAUCCUCCAAAAGAAAACAGACAGUAAGUGCCAUGUGAAGCAAGUGUAUAAAUUUAUGAAAGUUAGUUUAAGUGAUAAAUUUUACAAUAUGAAAAAAACAUAUUAAACAUGUAUGCCUCCAACGGGAAAUAGAAAGUUUAUAUGCACAGGAUGUAAAAGUUUGGUUUGUUUUUAACAUUGAAAUCUACCACUUAGAUUUUUUCCAAAAUGGAAGUUAUUGUAAAUGUUAAAUUUACAAUAUCGAAAACAUAUUAAACGUACAUACACCACUAACAGACCACAUAAUUUGCAUGGCCAUAGAAAUUAUUCUUUGGACCGGGCUCAGUAGUUAGGUUUGUUUUCAAUAUAAUAAAAUUUACCACCUACACUUUAGUGUAAAUGUUAAAUUUACAAUAUCAAAAGCAUAUUAAACGUACAUACACCACUAACAGACCACAUAAUUUUUAUGGACAUAUAAAUUAUUCUUGGGACAGGGCUCAAUAGUUAGGUUUGUUUUCGAUAUAUUAAAAUUUAUCACCUACAUUUUUUUCCAAAAUGAAAGUCACUAAGCAAUAAAUUUACAAUAUUAUAACAUACUAAACACAUGUACACCUGAACCAGAUAAAAUUCUAUGGGCAGGACAUAACAAUGUUAGGUUUGCUUUUAACAUAUUAAAAUUUAUCACUUACACUUAUUUCAAAAUGAAAAUAUUUUGUUUAGCUAAUAAAUUAGAGAAAAGGGAAAAAAACCUGGAAGAUGUUGUUCAAAGAUUGUUCGUGGUGUUUCCAAAGCUGAUCUUCUUAGGCCAUUUGUGGAGGAAGAAUAGAUAUCUCGAAGAAACUCAUCUUUGUCUCUUGCGAAACCAAUUCACGUCGUUUUAUUCACCGCCGUUUAACACACUCAACAGAAUCCACCGAUCAAUAACAAGAUGCUUUCCUCAUAUAAAUUUUAUGGGUAAUCGCUAUGAUGAUGAGAAGGAUCUUUUGUGUAAAACAUUCCACAAAAGUUUUGCUAGAGAAGAAACCAAAAUAUUAUAAGAGAAGUGAAAGAG
rnacentral:lncRNA from 1 species